rnacentral:rRNA from 1 species
AUACGUAGGGUGCAAGCGUUAAUCGGAAUUACUGGGCGUAAAGCGUGCGCAGGCGGCUUUGUAAGACAGAGGUGAAAUCCCCCGGCUCAACCUGGGAACUGCAUUUGUGACUGCAAGGCUAGAGUACGGCAGAGGGGGAUGGAAUUUCGCGUGUAGCAGUGAAAUUCUGAGAUAUGCGGAGGAACACCGAUGGCGAAGGCAAUCCCCUGGGCCUGUACUGACGCUCAUGCACUAAAGCGUGGGGAGCAAACAGGAUUAGAUACCCUGGUAGUCCACGCCCUAAACGAUGUCAACUGGUUGUUGGGUCUUCAUUGACUCAGUAACGAAGCUAACGCGUGAAGUUGACCGCCUGGGGAGUACGGCCGCAAGGUUGAAACUCAAAUGAAUUGACGGGG